rnacentral:rRNA from 1 species
GACAGAGGGUGCAAACGUUGUUCGGAUUCAUUGGGCGUAAAGGGUGCGUAGGCGGCGCGGUAAGUCGGGGGUGAAAUCUCGGAGCUUAACUCCGAAACUGCAUUCGAUACUGCCGUGCUUGAGGACUGGAGAGGAGACUGGAAUUUACGGUGUAGCGGUGAAAUGCGUAGAUAUCGUAAGGAAGACCAGUGGCGAAGGCGGGUCUCUGGGACGGUACUGACGCUGAGACGCGAAAGCGUGGGGAGCGAACAGG